rnacentral:rRNA from 1 species
UACAGAGGGUGCGAGCGUUGUUCGGAAUUAUUGGGCGUAAAGCGCUUGUAGGCGGCUUGUUAAGUUCCGUGUGAAAUCCCCAGGCUUAACCUGGGAAGUGCGCGGAAAACUGGCGAGCUUUGAGUGCCGGAGAGGGUCGCGGAAUUCCCGGUGUAGAGGUGAAAUUCGUAGAUAUCGGGGAGGAACACCAGUGGCGAAGGCGGCGACCUGGACGGACACUGA